UCGCAUAAAUCACUUUCGAGGAAAGUGGAUACCGAUUGGUUCGAUCCGAAUCCUCGUUCGAUUACCGGUAAAAGUGGGAGGGUGAAAUUGACGAUUGAAAUAUCGCGCGUUUUCGAACGCCAUCUUCGAAACGAGGCAAGCGAGGAAGACAUCGUGCCACCGACUUCCGCUCAGAGCGCACCGGAUCCACCAUAAGGUGAACACGUGUCGUCGUGAUAAUAGCGUGAUAGACACGCUCUGUCCAACGAUGCCACCGGACGAAACCACGAAUAUCUUCUCCGUGAUCAAGAGCGUGAUAAGUGAUCCGUUAUUUAAGCAAAUAGCCUCGCGGAUAAUUAACAAGAUAAAGGAUAUCGUAGAGGAAAAGGAGCGAAAUGAAACGAGAUCACCGUUUAACACAGUUCAACCGUCUACUCGCGUUCGAAGAUCGAAGUUUUAUUAAGUGGAAAGCGUUUAAAAAUAUUCAAGAAUUAUGGUCGAGGGAGAAAUUAAUCGCGUUAUAGAUAUGCCACACGAAUAUUUGAAUAUUAUCAUAGAAUAAAUCAGAGGAUCGAAGAUUUUGGAGCACAGGUAUGUUUCAAGAGGCUGCGGUCCGCCAAACUGAUAAAAUAAAAAAUAAUAAAAAAGAAAUCGCGAAAAUUCUUUUACGAGAAAAUUAUAUAAUCAUAGAAUCUCGAGAAUUAUAUAAUUUUCCCGUAGAAACAACGUAAUGCAUCUAAACUACGAAAAGAAAUACGCGAAUUAAAAAUUGAACAUCGA